ACACACUCCAGUGUGAGCUACUUCAGCUGUAAGGAUUAAUAAGAAAUAGCCUCCGCUCUGCAGUAGCGGGCCCAGACGGGUGUCCCCCUCGCCGAGAAAGCACUACAAGCAGUUAAUCAGUGAAGCUGAAUAUAGCAUUGGUCAUCCCAGCUCAGAAAAAUGCCUGGAUCAACCUAUUUCAUCCCUGACACAAAUUUCACAUUAGGCAACGUGGAACCCAGAAAAUUUACGAGACAAGUGGAUACCAUAAUGGCCUUUAAUUCAAG